rnacentral:piRNA from 1 species
UGCCUGCACCAAAGGAUUCUGGGAAGGAGA